AAACAGAAGAAGGCGACCAGACGGCCCCAAUUGACGCCGUCUCGGAACAACUCGCCCACCACCUGCUCAAAGCGCCGGUAGACCGUGUCCGGGGUGACGCGCAGCUGCGCCGACAGAUCGCUGAAGGCGCGCCGAUUUGAACCAUGAUUCACUGGGUUGUCAGCUGCUUUGAAUGGAGGAUCCCUGCGCCAGUCACAGUGGGAGUGAGGGCAGAUUUACUGAUACCUGGAAGCUAUGUUCCCUCGAAAGUGCACGUGUGCGCACGCAAACACGUUUUUCAACCAGUGCACUAAGGAAAUUAAUGUGUGCACAAAAGGGAGUUGUUAUAUGGACAGAGGGGAACAGAAUGGAACUUCUAAAGAUCAGAUGUGUGAAUGAGAUGAGGAUGAAGAUAACAAGAGGAAUGUAAUGUUAUGGAAUGGAGCAACGUUAUCACUGUUCCUUGUUUAACAAAAAGGUGCAAGAUCAGGGCUAUAUUUCCAGACAAAACUUGGCUGGAAGUAUACUUCCCCUUGCAAGAAAAACAGUAAAUGCAUUAAUCAUGUG